AUGCUUUGCUGCAGGUGUGUGCUGCCUCUCCUGGCUCUGUACGUGUCGUUGGAGGAGAUAUCCGCUGCUGUGUUGCCAAGUUCUUCCAGAAACAAAAGGGAAGUGAGCUGGCUGGAGCAGGAGCUCUUCCCCCACCUGCAUGACCCCUCGGACCAGAGGGACCUGUCCGUGGGCGACGCUGGGGACAUGGGAAGGGAUGUGGAGGGCCGCCCCGCUCACUCAGAGAGCUUUUUGGCCCCGACGGAGCACCUUAGUGUCCAACACCAGAACCAGAACCAGAACCAGUUCCAGUACCAACGUAAAGCCAAUGAAAAGAGGAGGAAGGUUGCUCCCCUCGACUCCAUCGGCCGCUUUCAAAUGUCCAGUUCCCGAAGCCGAAAAGAUGAACCAGAUGUCCAGUGGGAAGAAAUCAGAGAGUGAAGAGCAGCGCCAACAACUGAGCCCUUUCUAUUGCAUUCUGUUUAAUAUGUCUUCCAUGAUAUUUAUUCAUUAUUAUUUAACUCGCUGCCAUACUAACAAGUGAGACACCUGUCGACUGACUCCCUCUAGUGGUCGAACAGACACACG
rnacentral:lncRNA from 1 species